GUGGGGAUGUGGCUCAAGUGGUAACGCGCUCGCCUAGCACACGUGAGGCACUGGGUUCGAUUCUCAGCACCACA
rnacentral:tRNA from 1 species